UACGAGUGCCCCAAGCGUUAUCCGGAAUCACUGGGCGUAAAGCGUCCGUAGGCGUCCUAUCAAGUUUCUUGUUAUCUCCAGUGCUCAACAUUGGAGGAGCAAGAAAAACUGAUAGGAUAGAGGAUAUCAGAGGCCGGUGGAACUCACGGAGUAGGGGUGAAAUCCGUUGAUACCGUGGGGAACACCGAAAGCGAAGGCAGCCGGCUAGGGUAUUCCUGACGCUGAGGGACGAAAGCGUGGGGAGAGAACGGGAUUAGAUACCCCGGUAUUCCACGCCGUAAACGAUGCUGACUAGGUAUUUCGAGUGUCGACCCUCGGAGUGCCGAAGCUAACGCGUUAAGUCAGCCGCCUGGGAAGUACGGCCGCAAGGCUAAAACUCAAAGGAAUAGACGGGGGCUCACACAAGCGGUGGACCACGUGGCUUAAUUCGAUGAUAAGCGAAGAACCUUACCAGGGCUUGACAUGCUAGGAUGUACGUCGGCGGAAACGUCGGCGGACCGUCAAUUCGGAGCCUAGCACAGGUGCUGCAUGGUUGUCGUCAGCUCGUGCCGUGAGGUGUACCCUUAAGUGGGGAAACGAGCGUAACCCCUAUCCUGUGUUUCAAGUGUCACAGGAGACUGCCCCGAUAUUUCGGGGAGGAAGGUGGGGAUGACGCCAAAUCAGCAUGGCCCUUAUGCCCUGGGCGGCACAGGUGGUACAAUGGCCGGUUACAAUGGGUUGCGAAGUCGUAAGACGGAGCUAAUCCCAUCAAAACCGGUCUCAGUUCGGAUUGAGGUNUGCAACUCGACCUCAUGAAGCCGGAAUCGCUAGUAAUCGCGGAUCAGCCACGCCGCGGUGAAUAUGUCCCUGAGCCUUGUACUCACCGCCCGUCACAGCAGGGGAGUUAGCUCUAUCUGAAGUCCUCGCAUAAGCGGGGCCGAGGAUAGGGUUAAUGACCAAGCUG
rnacentral:rRNA from 1 species